ensembl:lncRNA
CUUCUCCUCUCGGAAAGGCUCUGGGAACCGGGCGGGGGUUUGGGCUCGGUGCGGCUCCUCGCUAGGCCGUGACUCAUGGGGAAGAUAGAUGGGAAGAGGAAAUCUCUGAGCUAGCCAUUGCUGAGAAAGCAUGAGAGUCUCCUAAACACUGAUCUAGCAUGCAUCAACCUCAUCAUCAAUGUGGACAUCUCUGGAAAGUAUAUUGCCAAUAAAUGGCUCCCAUCAGGUGUCCAGUCACCAAAAUCAGGAUCCAGCUUCAGAUGGUUAGUAUCUGUGUGCCACCCAUAUUUCAAGCAUCACUAAUACAGCUGUUGGCAUGACUAAAAUCUAGCUUUGGGAACUCGGGUUCAAAACCUGUCUUACCAACUCUUCUCAUAAAUGAGAUCAGCAACCUUUUCUCCACAUCCCCUCACACCAUUCCCAAUCUCUCAUUCAUCAUCCUAAUUCAGACCAUCACCUUUUCAUAUUUCAUCUCCUUCAUUUUAAUCCCCACACCAUUCUCUUCCAUAGAGCAGAAAAAAUGAUUUUCCUAAAGUGCACACUAGAUGACCAUGCGACCUCUGAACUGCAUGCAUUCCUAUGGUUAUUAUCCCUACGAUUAAAAUAGAAAUUCUGCAUUUAAAGCUAUUCAUAAUCCUGGCCUCUAUCUUUUCAGUCUCCUUCCACAAUUUCCCUUGAUGUAUUAUUCUGUAAUCCAGAAGGUCACCUUCUGCAGAAGUUCCCCCAAUUGCUAGGGCUUUGCUCUCUAAGGAUACCUUGUAUUUUGUAUGGUAUAUAUAGAUCUAUAUACAAGUGGUCAUAUCAUUAGAAUGUAUGCUCCUUGAGGGGAAGACUCUUUUCUUUGAAAAUACUAGGGCAGUUUAGGAUAAUACCUGUCAUAUAAUGCAUGAUUAAAUUCUGAAUUCUGCAACAAUACUGUAUGCAAAAAAAAAUCUAACUUGAUCAAUAGACAUGAACAAAAAAAUAAGAACUGGAGUCAAUUAUUACGUUAGAUUGAAAAACAUGGUCUAGUCCCUUAACAAGAGGGAUAAAAUAACCCAUGUGAUCUGCUGGUUUUUUAAAUUAAAAAAAA